UACAGGUGGGCAAGUGGGA
rnacentral:misc_RNA from 1 species